GGGGCCUACGACCUUCCUGGGCCGGGGAAGACAGUCGUGGAGGAGUCCACGGAUCUCGUCCCCUUGGUGGCCCGAUUCUGCUUUAUACUGGGGUGGGAGCGAGAGGGAGGCUGAGUUUGCGCGCUCGUGUGCGUGCCUGUCCGCUGCCCCUUCCCGCUGGCACUCUGGGUACGGGGUCUGCCUGGGACUCACGCUCUGCGCCGGUAUGCUGGCCCCAGAGCCACUCCCCGCGCCGGCUUGAGGCCCGUGCCAGGCCACGGGGGCUUGGUGGCGCUGGAGCAGCCCUCCUCCCGUGAGCUUCCCCCACCCACCCCCGGGGCGGGGGCGGGGGCGGGGCCCUUGCUCUGCUGUAAGCUCGCGAGCUUCAUCAGACCAUUUCUGGUCCACAGGCCUUCGGAGCAGGCUGGCAAAGCACACAGGCUGAGCGCUGAGGAGAGGGACCAGCUGCUGCCAAACCUGAGGGCUGUGGGGUGGAAUGAGCUGGAAGGCCGUGAUGCCAUCUUCAAGCAGUUUCAUUUCAAAGACUUCAACAGGGCCUUUGGGUUCAUGACAAGAGUGGCCCUGCAGGCUGAGAAACUGGACCACCAUCCUGAAUGGUUUAACGUGUACAACAAGGUCCACAUCACGCUGAGCACCCAUGAGUGUGCCGGCCUUUCAGAACGGGACAUAAACCUGGCCAGCUUCAUCGAACAAGUAGCAGUGUCCAUGACAUAGACCCUGCCCUUCCUCUUU
rnacentral:lncRNA from 1 species